CUUGAUAAGCCGGUUGUGAAAGCCCCGGGCUCAACCUGGGAACGGCAUCCGGAACUGUCAGGCUAGAGUGCAGGAGAGGAAGGUAGAAUUCCCGGUGUAGCGGUGAAAUGCGUAGAGAUCGGGAGGAAUACCAGUGGCGAAGGCGGCUUUCUGGACUGACACUGACACUGAGGUGCGAAAGCGUGGGUAGCAAACAGGAUUAGAUACCCUGGUAGUCCACGCCGUAAACGAUGUCGACCAGCCGUUGGGUGCCUAGAGCACUUUGUGGCGAAGUUAACGCGAUAAGUCGACCGCCUGGGGAGUACGGCCGCAAGGUUAAAACUCAAAUGAAUUGACGGGGGCCCGCACAAGCGGUGGAGCAUGUGGUUUAAUUCGAUGCAACGCGAAGAACCUUACCUACCCUUGACAUCUACAGAAGCCGGAAGAGAUUCUGGUGUGCCUUCGGGAACUGUAAGACAGGUGCUGCAUGGCUGUCGUCAGCUCGUGUUGUGAAAUGUUGGGUUAAGUCCCGUAACGAGCGCAACCCUUGUCCUUAUUUGCCAGCGAGUAAUGUCGGGAACUCUAAGGAGACUGCCGGUGACAAACCGGAGGAAGGUGGGGACGACGUCAAGUCAUCAUGGCCCUUACGGGUAGGGCUACACACGUGCUACAAUGGCCGGUACAAAGGGCUGCGAGCUCGCGAGAGUCAGCGAAUCCCUUAAAGCCGGUCUCAGUCCGGAUCGGAGUCUGCAACUCGACUCCGUGAAGUCGGAAUCGCUAGUAAUCGUGAAUCAGAAUGUCACGGUGAAUACGUUCCCGGGCCUUGUACACACCGCCCGUCACACCAUGGGAGUGGACUGCACCAGAAGUGGUUAGCCUAACGCAAGAGGG
rnacentral:rRNA from 1 species